rnacentral:rRNA from 1 species
AUGAACGCUAGCGGCAGGCCUAACACAUGCAAGUCGAGGGGCAUCGGGAUUGAAGCUUGCUUCAAUUGCCGGCGACCGGCGCACGGGUGCGUAACGCGUAUGUAACCUACCUAUAACAGGGGCAUAACACUGAGAAAUUGGUACUAAUUCCCCAUAAUAUUCGGAGAGGCAUCUCUCCGGGUUGAAAACUCCGGUGGUUAUAGAUGGACAUGCGUUGUAUUAGCUAGUUGGUGAGGUAACGGCUCACCAAGGCAACGAUACAUAGGGGGACUGAGAGGUUAACCCCCCACACUGGUACUGAGACACGGACCAGACUCCUACGGGAGGCAGCAGUGAGGAAUAUUGGUCAAUGGACGCAAGUCUGAACCAGCCAUGCCGCGUGCAGGAAGACGGCUCUAUGAGUUGUAAACUGCUUUUGUACGAGGGUAAACUCACCUACGUGUAGGUGACUGAAAGUAUCGUACGAAUAAGGAUCGGCUAACUCCGUGCCAGCAGCCGCGGUAAUACGGAGGAUUCAAGCGUUAUCCGGAUUUAUUGGGUUUAAAGGGUGCGUAGGCGGUUUGAUAAGUUAGAGGUGAAAUCCCGGGGCUUAACUCCGGAACUGCCUCUAAUACUGUUAGACUAGAGAGUAGUUGCGGUAGGCGGAAUGUAUGGUGUAGCGGUGAAAUGCUUAGAGAUCAUACAGAACACCGAUUGCGAAGGCAGCUUACCAAACUAUAUCUGACGUUGAGGCACGAAAGCGUGGGGAGCAAACAGGAUUAGAUACCCUGGUAGUCCACACGGUAAACGAUGAAUACUCGCUGUUUGCGAUAUACUGCAAGCGGCCAAGCGAAAGCGUUAAGUAUUCCACCUGGGGAGUACGCCGGCAACGGUGAAACUCAAAGGAAUUGACGGGGGCCCGCACAAGCAGUGGAGUAUGUGGUUUAAUUCGACGCAACGCGAAGAACCUUACCAAGUCUUGACAUCCUGCGACGAUGCUGGAAACAGUAUUUUCCUUCGGGACGCAGAGACAGGUGGUGCAUGGUUGUCGUCAGCUCGUGUCGUGAGAUGUUGGGUUAAGUCCCGCAACGAGCGCAACCCUUAUUGUUAGUUGCCAUCAUUUAGUUGGGCACUCUAGCGAGACUGCCGGUGACAAACCGGAGGAAGGUGGGGAUGACGUCAAAUCAUCAUGCCCCUUAUGACCUGGGCUACACACGUACUACAAUGGACAUUAACAGAGGGAAGCAAUACAGUGAUGUGGAGCAAACCCCUAAAAAUGUUCUCAGUUCAGAUUGCAGGCUGCAACCCGCCUGUAUGAAGAUGGAAUUGCUAGUAAUCGCAGAUCAGCAUGCUGCGGUGAAUACGUUCCCGGGCCUUGUACACACCGCCCGUCACACCAUGAGAGUUGGAAAUACCCGAAGCCUGUGAGCUAACCUAAGAGGCAGCAGUCGAAGGUAGAGCCAAUGAUUGGGGUG